rnacentral:rRNA from 1 species
GGCUCAGGACGAACGCUGGCGGCGUGCUUAACACAUGCAAGUCGAGCGGUAAGGCUCCUUCGGGAGUACACGAGCGGCGAACGGGUGAGUAACACGUGAGCAAUCUGCCCUUCACUUUGGGAUAACUACCGGAAACGGUGGCUAAUACCGAAUACGACAACUUCAGGCAUCUGGUGGUUGUGGAAAGUUCUGGCGGUGAAGGAUGAGCUCGCGGCCUAUCAGCUUGUUGGUGAGGUAAUGGCUCACCAAGGCUUCGACGGGUAGCCGGCCUGAGAGGGUGACCGGCCACACUGGGACUGAGACACGGCCCAGACUCCUACGGGAGGCAGCAGUGGGGAAUAUUGGACAAUGGGCGAAAGCCUGAUCCAGCAACGCCGCGUGAGGGAUGACGGCCUUCGGGUUGUAAACCUCUUUCAGCAGGGACGAAGCGAAAGUGACGGUACCUGCAGAAGAAGCACCGGCCAACUACGUGCCAGCAGCCGCGGUAAUACGUAGGGUGCGAGCGUUGUCCGGAAUUAUUGGGCGUAAAGGGCUCGUAGGCGGUUUGUCACGUCGGGAGUGAAAACCAGGUGCUUAACACCUGGCCUGCUUCCGAUACGGGCAGACUAGAGGUAUGCAGGGGAGAACGGAAUUCCUGGUGUAGCGGUGAAAUGCGCAGAUAUCAGGAGGAACACCGGUGGCGAAGGCGGUUCUCUGGGCAUUACCUGACGCUGAGGAGCGAAAGUGUGGGGAGCGAACAGGAUUAGAUACCCUGGUAGUCCACACCGUAAACGUUGGGCGCUAGGUGUGGGACUCAUUCCACGAGUUCCGUGCCGCAGCUAACGCAUUAAGCGCCCCGCCU